rnacentral:tRNA from 1 species
UGUGGGAUAGAGCAGCUUGGUAGCUCAUCAGGCUCAUAAUCUGAAGGUCGUAGGUUCAAAUCCUGCUCCCACAU